rnacentral:rRNA from 1 species
CCCGCACAAGCGGUGGAGCAUGUGGUUUAAUUCGAUGCAACGCGAAGAACCUUACCUGGGCUUGACAUCCCGGGAAUCCCUUGGAAACAAGGGAGUGCCCUUCGGGGAACCUGGAGACAGGUGCUGCAUGGCUGUCGUCAGCUCGUGUCGUGGGAUGUUGGGUUAAGUCCCGUAACGAGCGCAACCCUUGUCCUUAGUUACCAGCACGUUAAGGUGGGCACUCUAAGGAGACUGCCGGUGACAAACCGGAGGAAGGUGGGGAUGACGUCAAGUCAUCAUGGCCCUUACGGCCUGGGCUACACACGUGCUACAAUGGUCGGUACAAAGGGUUGCCAAGCCGCGAGGUGGAGCUAAUCCCAUAAAACCGAUCGUAGUCCGGAUCGCAGUCUGCAACUCGACUGCGUGAGGUCGGAAUCGCUAGUAAUCGUGAAUCAGAAUGUCACGGUGAAUACGUUCCCGGGCCUU